rnacentral:rRNA from 1 species
GACGAACGCUGGCGGCGUGCUUAACACAUGCAAGUCGAACGGUAAGGCCCUUCGGGGUACACGAGUGGCGAACGGGUGAGUAACACGUGGGUGAUCUGCCCUGCACUUCGGGAUAAGCCUGGGAAACUGGGUCUAAUACCGGAUAGGACUCCUGGCUUCAUGGUUGGGGGUGGAAAGCUUUUGCGGUGUGGGAUGGGCCCGCGGCCUAUCAGCUUGUUGGUGGGGUAAUGGCCUACCAAGGCGACGACGGGUGGCCGGCCGGAGAGGGUGACCGGGCACACUGGGACUGAGAUACGGCCCAGACUCCUACGGGAGGCAGCAGUGGGGAAUAUUGCACGAUGGGCGCAAGCCGGAUGCAGCGACGCCGCGUGAGGGAUGACGGCCUUCGGGUUGUAAACCUCUUUCAGCUAUGACGAAGCGCAAGUGACGGUAGUAGCAGAAGAAGGACCGGCCAACUACGUGCCAGCCGCCGCCGUAA